rnacentral:rRNA from 1 species
GAUGGCGGGGUGCUAUACAUGCAAGUCGAGCGGACAGAUGGGAGCUUGCUACCCUGAUGUUAGCGGCGGACGGGUGAGUAACACGUGGGUAACCUGCCUGUAAGACUGGGAUAACUCCGGGAAACCGGGGCUAAUACCGGAUGCUUGUUUGAACCGCAUGGUUCAAACAUAAAAGGUGGCUUCGGCUACCACUUACAGAUGGACCCGCGGCGCAUUAGCUAGUUGGUGAGGUAACGGCUCACCAAGGCGACGAUGCGUAGCCGACCUGAGAGGGUGAUCGGCCACACUGGGACUGAGACACGGCCCAGACUCCUACGGGAGGCAGCAGUAGGGAAUCUUCCGCAAUGGACGAAAGUCUGACGGAGCAACGCCGCGUGAGUGAUGAAGGUUUUCGGAUCGUAAAGCUCUGUUGUUAGGGAAGAACAAGUGCCGUUCAAAUAGGGCGGCACCUUGACGGUACCUAACCAGAAAGCCACGGCUAACUACGUGCCAGCAGCCGCGGUAAUACGUAGGUGGCAAGCGUUGUCCGGAAUUAUUGGGCGUAAAGGGCUCGCAGGCGGUUUCUUAAGUCUGAUGUGAAAGCCCCCGGCUCAACCGGGGAGGGUCAUUGGAAACUGGGGAACUUGAGUGCAGAAGAGGAGAGUGGAAUUCCACGUGUAGCGGUGAAAUGCGUAGAGAUGUGGAGGAACACCAGUGGCGAAGGCGACUCUCUGGUCUGUAACUGACGCUGAGGAGCGAAAGCGUGGGGAGCGAACAGGAUUAGAUACCCUGGUAGUCCACGCCGUAAACGAUGAGUGCUAAGUGUUAGGGGGUUUCCGCCCCUUAGUGCUGCAGCUAACGCAUUAAGCACUCCGCCUGGGGAGUACGGUCGCAAGACUGAAACUCAAAGGAAUUGACGGGGGCCCGCACAAGCGGUGGAGCAUGUGGUUUAAUUCGAAGCAACGCGAAGAACCUUACCAGGUCUUGACAUCCUCUGACAAUCCUAGAGAUAGGACGUCCCCUUCGGGGGCAGAGUGACAGGUGGUGCAUGGUUGUCGUCAGCUCGUGUCGUGAGAUGUUGGGUUAAGUCCCGCAACGAGCGCAACCCUUGAUCUUAGUUGCCAGCAUUCAGUUGGGCACUCUAAGGUGACUGCCGGUGACAACCCGGAGGAAGGUGGGGAUGACGUCA